CUGCUUACCAGACCUGUGUAUCAAUGUUUGUCUUGUUUAUGUCUUCAUGACUCUCAGGAUUUGAGAUGAUUCUUCUGCAAUUGAAGGUAAGGUGGGAUGCUAACAACCUAUACUGACGUGAGGUGUUUUUUUUUUAACAAUUCUGCAUUCAUAGAAUCCCGGAAUCAUAGAAUGGCCUGAGUUGAAAAGGACCACAGUGAUCAUCGAGUUUCAACCCCCCUGCUAUGUGCAGGGUUGCCAACCACCAGACCAGGCUGCCCAGAGCCACAUCCAGCCUGGCCUUGAAUGCCUCCAGGGAUGGGGCAUCCACAACCUCCUUGGGCAACCUGUUCCAGUGCAUCACCACCCUCUGUGUGAAAAACUUCUUCCUAACAUCUAACCUAAACCUCCCCUGUCCCAGUUUAAAACUAUUCCCCCUUGUCCUAUCACUGUCCACCCUUGUAAACAGCUGUUCCCCCUUCCUGUUUAUACACUCCCUUCAAGUACUGGAAAGCCACAGUACGGUCUCCCCGGAGCCUUCUCUUCUCCAAGCUAAACGAGCCCAGUUCCCUCAACCUUUCCUCAUAGGAGAGGUGCUCCAGCCCUCUGAUCAUCUUAGUUAUUGCAUUCUUUGCAAUCACUUGCAGCCUGGGACUGCUUUCUGGCUCUGAAUUAUUAGAUACCCUUUACUACUUUUUUCUUGUUGUGACAUCUUCCUGCCAUACAAUUCAUAUGACAACUGCCAUUUAGUGUGUAUAUAUAGGGAAGGGUUGUUUAUUUUAGUACCAAUUGUCACACCUGUUAUAAACAUACUACUGCUACAUAUUCCAGUUGCUAAAUAUAUAAUAACAACUGCAGUACUCUUUAAAACUGACUUAAGACUGAGAUGGAAAGUGGCUGCAGUGUACUUGCUUUCAGUGAUGUCUGGGCUGGAGUUAUUUGGAGCUGCAGUGGUUGAUUAUUGUUUGCGAGGAGGUUCUUAAAAUAAUUGUGGCAAAUGGAGCGAUGUUUGAAGUGUAUAAAAAUGGAAAGCUUUCAUUCCAUCUCUGAGAAGCGUGCCAAGUGAUGAAAAUUAAGGUAAAAAGGAAUUUGUGGAAGAAAUGAAGAGCAUAGACUUCUCUGGAAUGUGAGAGAGGCAGGCGUGUUGGUGUUCCUGCAAUAUUCAGGAAUUUCCCUCUGGGGCUGCACUUGGCUUGAGGACUACAGCUGCUGCACACAGCAAACCAGGGUGACCAGCAGAUGUCAGCUCUUUGGUUCGUCUCAUCAGGAGGAAAUCGCAGUUGCUGUGGACAGGACUACACAGAGAAAAGAAAGAAGAACCUGGCCCUUCAAAAUGAUGCAUCUGCAACUGCAUCAUACAGAAAUUUACAGCCAUCUUCAAACACCGCCCAGCUUGCCUGCUGGGGCAUCUAUUUCAGUGCCGAAUAGAUGGUCAUUGCCAUAACAUCCAACACUGUGAUUGCUGCUGUGAUGGCCACUAUUAGUGCAAAUGGCAUUUUCAGGCCCAUUACACUGAGUGCAUUCAGGAGGGCCCAAAACCUGUGGAAAAUGUAUAAUUAAACUAUUUGGGAACACUUAGGCCAACUGAUACCAGAAUGAAUUAUGGUAUAUGCAGCUUGUUGUUCUUCUAAUGAGUAAUACAGUUACUGCUAUAAAGUAGCUGUUUUGAAUAAUUGUCUAAUUUUCAAAUGGAAAAAUAUAUUGAGAUAAUUACUUAAGUAGAGUCUAAAAAUAAAUUCUAAGUUCAUUAAGAAACAGCUUUAAAUUUGCUAAAUACUUUAGCUGGCCUUAUUAAAAUACAUUGCUUCAGAAAGUGAGAAAUUAUUCUUUUGUGGUGAGAUGAGAAAAGUAGCUUUAAUAACAAAAGUAUGUUUUAAAUUUAAAUAUGUAAGCACUUCAAACCUUACAGCUUCAAAAGUGAAAAAGAUGAAUGGGUCAAACCCUGUCCCCAUUUCAGUUAAAGACAGUCUUGCCACUUAUUUCAGUCAAGUACGGGUGACACUCAAAGUGGUGAAUCUAACCUAUAAUUUCCCCGCUGCUCUGUUUUACUGGGAGAUAAUACAUUUAUCUCAUUCAGGCCUUUGUAUCUCUCAUUAGCUCUCAUCCAGGAACCCCAAGGAGUUUAAUGGUGGAACCUGAACAAUCAUGCAAAAUCCACUUCUGCUUAUAAUACCCAUGUAGGGAUGUCACCCCUCUCAAACUCUUUCCUAGUGAAACAAACCAGUGAGAUUCAAGACCUGAAAAGAAGAUUAUUGUAGCUUUUACAAAAAUCUUUACAAGUGGGUCAGUUACUUUACAGCUCUAAUAGUAUUCUUUUUUUCUUUCUCAUGUAAUUAUUAACCCAGUAGCAUAUUUUGAUUUAAGUUAAUCUUUGCUUUUGUAUAGCGUUAUUUGCAAUAAAUUCUGAAGUAUCAAA
rnacentral:lncRNA from 1 species